AUCUAACUGAAGAGCCCUAUAUAGGACGAAACACACUUCCUGGAU
rnacentral:hammerhead_ribozyme from 1 species